rnacentral:lncRNA from 1 species
AUGUAUGGCCUAAAUCAAAUCCUUUAUGAUUAUACAGUGAAAGUGAGAAAUAGAUUUAAGGGACUAGAUCUGAUUGAUAGAGUACCUGAUGAACUAUGGACGGAGGUUUGUGACAUUGUACAGGAGACAGGGGUCAAGACCAUCUCCAUGGAAAAGAAAUGCAAAAAAGCAAAAUGGCUGUCUGAGGAGGCCUUACAAAUAGCUGUAAAAAGAAGAGAAGUGAAAAGCAAAGGAGAAAAGGAAAGAUAUAAGCAUCUGAAUGCAGAGUUACAAAGACUAGCAAGAAGAGAUAAGAAAGCCUUCUUCAGCGAUCAAUGCAAAGAAAUAGAGGAAAAGAACAGAAUGGGAAAGACUAGAGAUCUCUUCAAGAAAAUUAGAGAUAGCAAGCGAAUAUUUCAUAUAAAGAUGGGCUCGAUAAAGGACAGAAAUGGUAUGGACCUAACAGAAGCAGAAGAUAUUAAGAAGAGGUGGAAAGAAUACACAGAAGAAAUGUACAAAAAAGAUCUACACAACCCAGAUAAUCACUAUGGUGUGAUCACUCCCCUAGAGCUAGACUUCUUGGAAUGUGAAGUCAAGUGGGCCUUAGAAAGCGUCACUAUGAAAAAAGCUAGUGGAGGUGAUGGAAUUCCAGUUGAGCUAUUUCAAAUCCUGAAAGAUGAUGCUGUGAAAGUGCUGCACUCAAUAUGCCAGCAAAUUUGGAAAACUCAGCAGUGGCCAAAGGACUGGAAAAGCUCAGUUUUCAUUCCAAUCCCAAAGAAAGGCAAUGCCAAAGAAUGCUUAAACUACUGCACAGUUGCACUCAUCUCACAUGCUAGUAAAGUAAUGCUCAAAAUUCUCCAAGCCAGGCUUCAGAAAUAUGUGAACCGUGAACUCCCUGAUGUUCAAGAUGGUUUUAGAAAAGGCAGAGGAACCAGAGAUCAAAUUGCCAACAUCUGCUGGAUCAUUGAAAAAGCAAGAGAGUUCCAGAAAAACAUCUAUAUCUGCUUUAUUGACUAUGCCAAAGCCUUUGACUGUGUGGAUCACAAUAAACUGUGGAAAAUUCUGAAAGAAAUGGUAAUACCAGAGCACCUGACCGGCCUCUUGAGAAACCUAUAUGCAGGUCAGGAAGCAACAGUUAGAACUGGACAUGGAACAAUAGACUGGUUCCAAAUAGGAAAAGGAGUUCAUCAAGGCUGUAUAUUGUCACCCUGCUUAUUUAACGUAUAUGCAGAAUACAUCAUGAGAAACGUUGGGCUGGAAGAAGCACAAGCUGGAAUCAAGAUUGCCGGGAGAAAUCUCAAUAACCUCAGAUAUGCAGAUGACACCACCCUUAUGGCAGAAAGUGAAGAGGAACUAAAAAGCCUCUUGAUGAAAGUGAAAGCGGAGAGUGAAAAAGUUGGCUUAAAGCUCAACAUUCAGAAAAUGAAGAUCAUGGCAUCUGGUCCCAUCACUUCAUGGGAAAUAGAUGGGGAAACAGUGAGAGAUUUUACUUUUUUGGUCUCCAAAAUCACUGCAGAUGGUGACUGCAGCCAUGAAAUUAAAGGACACUUACUCCUUGGAAGAAAAGUUAUAACCAACCUAGAUAGCAUAUUCAAAGGCAGAGACAUUACUUUGCCAACAAAGGUCCGUCUAGUCAAGGCUAUGUUUUUUCCAGUGGUCAUGUAUGGAUGUGAGAUUUGGACUGUGAAGAAAGCUGAGUGCCGAAAAAUUGACACUUUCAAACUGUGUGUGGUGUUGGAGAAGACUCUUGAGAGUCCCUUGGACUGCAAGGAGAUCCAACCAGUCCAUUUAAAGUUAAAUUAUUGCAGAUGA